CAGGCCCCGGCACUGGGACGGGGGUAGCAGGGCCCGGCCCUCAGAGGGGGUGACGGCUGGCUGCAGACCAGGCAGGGACUCUGGCAGGAAGAGCCUCUGGCCUCUGUCAUCAGCUGGGCAGCAGCAUCUUGACUCUGAGGGGAACGUUCGAAACAGGAAGUGGUUUUGGAUUCAGGAACAGGAGUCAGCCUACAAGGGGAAAGAUGAGAGAAGUGAAUAAGAGCUUACAGUCCCGGCCAAAUGGGGCCCAGGGGACUCCCCGUUCACCGGGAAACCUGUGAGAAUGGAGCAGAAGCCUGGUCACUCAGACUGAGCUGGGGAGCUUCCUCAGGACCAUGUGAGUCAUGAACGCAGAUGUUCAUCUUCCCUCUCCCACUGCCCAGAUGGGGCUCUUAUCCACUGGGCGAUGGUCCUGGGAGCAGCAGCUAAAGCGGGCAGCUGCAGAUCUCCAGCCUCUGAAGAAAGGCCUGGCUCAGGCAUGCAGAGACUGACAUCUUCAGCCUCACCAUAUGGAUAACAAGCUUUCUCUUCCAGCCCCUGGGAACCCAAUGGCCAUGUUGUGAGAAACUCAAGCCAUGUGGAGAGGUCAACACCAUGAGGAACAAUCAACAGACCCAGCUGAGCCCCCAGAUGACAGCCAGUAUCAAGUGCCAGCCAUCCACAUGAGCCAUCUCAGACACCCAGUCUGGUUGAAGCUUCAGAUGACUGUAGCCGCAGUUGACAAUGGACUGUCAUCCUGGAAAAGACCCCAUGUGGAAAUCGCCCAACUGAGACUAGUCAAAGCACAGAACCAUGGAGAUCAUAACAAAUCGAUAUAUAAUAAAUUGUUUUACACCACUAA